AACGAACGCUGGCGGCAGGCUUAACACAUGCAAGUCGAACGCCCCGCAAGGGGAGUGGCAGACGGGUGAGUAAAGCGUGGGAACGUGCCCUUCGCUUCGGAAUAGCCCCGGGAAACUGGGUGUAAUACCGGAUACGCCGUAUUGGGAAAGGUUUAUCGGCGAAGGAUCGGCCCGCGUUGGAUUAGCUAGUUGGUGGGGUAAUGGCCUACCAAGGCGACGAUCCAUAGCUGGUCUGAGAGGAUGAUCAGCCACACUGGGACUGAGACACGGCCCAGACUCCUACGGGAGGCAGCAGUGGGGAAUCUUGGACAAUGGGGGAAACCCUGAUCCAGCCAUGCCGCGUGAGUGAAGAAGGCCUUAGGGUUGUAAAACUCUUUCGCCGGUGAAGAUAAUGACGGUAGCCGGAGAAGAAGCCCCGGCUAACUUCGUGCCAGCCGCCGCAGUAA
rnacentral:rRNA from 1 species